AUAACCCGAUUACCCGUUCCCGUUAUCCUCACUUUACGUCCCUAAACACCUAUCAUAAGGGACCUAGCCUAAGGAUCAUCAUCGGGACGGACACUACUGCUAAGGGGAUUCCUCAGCAAUAAAUGUCCUAAAGGCAACCAUGUGGGGGAUGGAGUACACCGGUGAACAUAUCGUUCACAAACACCUACAGGUUGCGAGCCUGCUAGUGUUCCACUGGACUGUCUAGAAGAGUCCGUGGUCGUCAUCCAUACUCCGCUAGAUGACAGAAUCAACAACAUCAACAUCGAGGCCUCUCAUCAUUUUAUCACACAUCACCUAUUGCAUCUACCCAUGUUUUACCCCAACAUUUUCGUAGAUAUAAAAUACAUAUACAGUUUAAAUCAUUGAAAACAUGUAUAACAACGUUCAUCUAGCAUAGAUAGCAAGUAUUCAGAUAAUAUGCACACAUAGCACGUAAUUUAUAUAAAAUACUUCAUAUCUAUGUGUAAGUUGAAAGUAACUAUGCACUCACUUGUUAAGGUGAUGAUUCCAAAAUCGGGCAGCGCUUGCUUCUAACGAUUCUAUUUUCCUUCGACGAAACCUAGCAUUAUUAUCGCUAAAUUUUAGUCUAAUAUUUACCGUGACCAACUAUUAGUCUUAGUAUUAUUAUUAUUAUAUAAGCGUUAAACAAUAUUUUCCAACCACUAUGUACAGACAGGGGCCAGACAUAAAACACCGGAGGGCAGGACCAUUUUGGCAUAUAGCACUUCUGAAAUCCAACAACCCUAUGCGGCCCUUUAAACCAGAUUCCCCGUACCGCGAGUAGUUAAAAAAAAUAUUAUAACGACACUUAUAUAAGUUAUAAUAAUAGCUCAAAUAUUUAUUAUAAGUUCAUAAUAACAAUACUAAUUUUAAAUAUAAGCUAUAUUAAAAUAAGGUAAGCAUAACUUACUUACAAGGGGGUUUUAGCUAGGAGUCGGGCUCUGCAGGGGCAGAACUUCGUCGCUGAAUCUUUCUAAGAAAGAUUCGUGCAGCGCUUCAGCGCUCACCUUACUAUACUAAGCUACAGAAAGAGAAGUCGAAUCACGAGGGACCGAAAUGCUCGGGGGAUAAGGAGAGAAAGACUCUUGAAUCAAGAGAAUGGUGCAAGAAAUAUGAGAGCCCAAGGCUCUUAUUUAUACUAAUUGAAUUUUCAAAAACUACCCUCCAUAAUUACUUAAUGACCUUUUAGUUAUAUAAACAACUAAACACCCCUCUAUAAUACUAUUAUAAAUGGAUUUAAUGAUAUUUGUACUAAACUAAUGUCGAAAGAACUCAACAUUAGUCUUAUAAUGACCGCAUCGUCGAUACCUUUCUAAUGAUAUAUACAUAUGUAUAUAUAUAUGUAUACGUAUAUAUGAUUUAUAUUUUAUUUUAAUACGUAAAUAUUCUAUUAUAUUUUAUAACUCGUUCAUACGAACUCCGUUUUUGACGUUAUUUAUAUCCACGCGUAGGCGGGAACGUACCCUACAACUUUCGUUUAGACUCCGUCGGCUAAUUUUGAAUUUAUUUUUAAAGUUAUAUUUUUAACAGGCCGGGACAGGAUUGGUCCGUUAAAAUCUCAUAACUUCUUCAUCCGAUGUCCAUUUUUGUCUGUCUUUUUAUCGUUACGCUACUAAUAACGAGAUCUUCGAUUCUCGUUUAGGUUGUGUCGGCUAAAAAUCAAUCGAUCUAAAAUUUGAAUUUCGGGCUGUACACCGUUAAUCCGAAACUUCGAAAAAUCAUAACUUCUUCAUACGAAGUCAUAUUUGGGCGUUCUUUUUAUCGAUGUUCUUAGUUUAACAUAUUCUACGACUUUCAUUUAGAGCGCUAAGGCUAAAUCUCGCUCUAUCAUAAAUUUACUAUUUACGCUUCCUGGUGCCGUGCCGGUUCCGAUGCGAAACUUCGACGGGUCAUAACUUCUUCGUUAUAACUCGGAUUUCGGCGUUCUUUAUAUGUACGGAAACCUUGUGACAUAUUCUAAAACUUGGUUAAGAUUAUUUACUCUAAAUAAUCUUUUUGUCGAAAAGUCGUUUUCGACCUCUAUUGCCUCUAAAUUGACUAGCCCGGAUCUGUGGGCGUUACAUAUGGUGAGCACAUAGUUCAAAUAAACACACAGUUCACAUAAACACCUACAGGUUGCGAGCCUGCUAGUGUUCCACUGGACUGUCUAGAAGAGUCCGUGGUCGUCAUCCAUACUCCGCUAGAUGACAGAAUCAACAACAUCAACAUCGAGGCCUCUCAUCAUUUUAUCACACAUCACCUAUUACAUCUACCCAUGUUUUACCCCAACAUUUUCGUAGAUAUAAAAUACAUAUACAGUUUAAAUCAUUGAAAACAUGUAUAACAAUGUUCAUCCGGCAUAGAUAGCAAGUAUUCAGAUA
rnacentral:lncRNA from 1 species